AGGUGCUGUGUUUGACAAGCCAGCCACUGGAAGAUGUUCUUUCUGAGGAAUGAGGGGGAGAAGCUGGCAGGGAGUGGUGCCAGUGCCUCCAAUAAUGAUGUGACACAAAGAACACAAGACAAUUCUCAAAUCAGAAAAUCUUUCAAGCUACUUGAAUGAUAUGCUAUUCUGGAAAUGAAAAAAAAAAAUCAUUCAUU